GUGAAGGGAAGCUCAUCAGUGGGGCUGAGUGUAUUUAGCCACUCUACCCCAUGUCCCUUGGGAAGGUCUGAGACUAGGGCCAAAAGCGGCCCUAACAGGGCCCUCCCUGAACCUCAGGGACGUGAGUUCGCAGAGAAUGAGUCUCUGUGCGAGGGUGGACUGGGCAGGAGAUGCCAUGGGACCCUGCCCUUGAAGAGGGGCCUGGAAGACACUGCUUGAGCUGGAGCUGUAAUAGGGAGUGGUGGGGACUGUGGCAGAUUGGAGAGAAUACACACCUUGAAAGAGAUUGCUUUAUUUUAUCUCCACUGGGUGUGAUGGCCUGGCAUUGCCAAAUCUCUGAAAUUUUAAAAAUAUUAUUUGACUCAU
ensembl:ribozyme RNaseP_nuc Nuclear RNase P